rnacentral:rRNA from 1 species
ACGGCUCAGUAACACGUAGUCAACAUGCCCAGGGGACGUGGAUAACCUCGGGAAACUGAGGAUAAACCGCGAUAGGCCAAGAUUUCUGGAAUGAAUCAUGGUUUAAAUCUAUAUGGCCCCUGGAUUGGACUGCGGCCGAUCAGGCUGUUGGUGAGGUAAUGGCCCACCAAACCUGUAACCGGUACGGGCUCUGAGAGGAGGAGCCCGGAGAUGGGCACUUAGACAAGGGCCCAGGCCCUAUGAGGCGCAGCAGGCGCGAAACCUCUGCAAUAAGCGAAAGCUUGACAGGGUUACUCUGAGUGAUUUCCGCUAAGGAAGUCUUUUGGCACCUCUAAAAAUGGUGCAGAAUAAGGGGUGGGCAAGUCUGGUGUCAGCCGCCGCGGUAAUACCAGCACCCCGAGUGGUCGGGACGAUUAUUGGGCCUAAAGCAUCCGUAGCCGGUCCUGCAAGUCCUCCGUUAAAUCCACCCGCUCAACGGUUGGGCCGCGGGGGAUACUACAGGGCUAGGAGGCGGGAGAGGCAAGCGGUACUCGAUGGGUAGGGGUAAAAUCCACUGAUCCAUUGAAGACCACCAGUGGCGAAGGCGGCUUGCCAGAACGCGCUCGACGGUGAGGGAUGAAAGCUGGGGGAGCAAACCGGAUUAGAUACCCGGGUAGUCCCAGCUGUAAACGAUGCAGACUCGGUGAUGGGCUGGCUUCGUGCCAACCCGGUGCCGCAGGGAAGCCGUUAAGUCUGCCGCCUGGGGAGUACGGUCGCAAGACUGAAACUUAAAGGAAUUGGCGGGGGAGCA